GAUGAACGCUAGCGGGAGGCCUAACACAUGCAAGCCGAGCGGUAUUGUUUCUUCGGAAAUGAGAGAGCGGCGUACGGGUGCGUAACACGUGUGCAACCUGCCUUUAUCUGGGGGAUAGCCUUUCGAAAGGAAGAUUAAUACUCCAUAAUAUAUUGAACGGCAUCGUUUAAUAUUGAAAGCUCCGGCGGAUAGAGAUGGGCACGCGCAAGAUUAGCUAGUUGGUGAGGUAACGGCUCACCAAGGCGAUGAUCUUUAGGGGGCCUGAGAGGGUGAUCCCCCACACUGGUACUGAGACACGGACCAGACUCCUACGGGAGGCAGCAGUGAGGAAUAUUGGCCAAUGGGUGCAAGCCUGAACCAGCCAUCCCGCGUGAAGGACGACUGCCCUAUGGGUUGUAAACUUCUUUUGUAUAGGGAUAAACCUACCCUCGAGAGGGUAGCUGAAGGUACUAUACGAAUAAGCACCGGCUAACUCCGUG
rnacentral:rRNA from 1 species